UCAUGAAACUUCACACACUAGUAGCUGAUAACAUUACAAAUCAGUGGCUAAAAGGAUAUUUCCAAGGCGAUGCAUUCCAUACAUUAGAAGGAAUUUAGAAUCAUACAACCAGUCAGCAGCUACCCAUAAACCAGACCAACCUAUAAAGUCGAGCGGGCAGAAGCUGUGAUUCCCAGUGUAACACCGCAGACUGACGGCUAGUUUUCGGAUUACAUUUCCUGUGUGGAAGGAUUAAAAAACUACACCAGACUGGUGGCCAUGACAGAUGUCAGUGGGAAAUUUAAACAUGGACUAGAUACUUUAAUGUGCAAAAAAGUUCAUCGCUGAUGCUGGUGUUUUUCUGGGAUAUAUUGACUGGGAUAGUAUUACUCUUCAGAAAUACAGAGCUGUCAAUGC
rnacentral:lncRNA from 1 species